GAAUGUCUCAGAUGUUGGAUUUCCCAUGACAUGGAACUUCUCUUACCUAACCAGCACUAAAUCUUACCUCCAAAACUGGACAGAGGAUAACUACAGUUCAUAGCAUCAUGAGAAGAAGACAUUUCAGUUUCCACUUCAAACACGGAGGAUUUUUGCUGGCGUCUCUUCUCCCCAGUCCUGCAUGCACAGUUAUGUCAGUCCUCCUCAGCUGCCCUGCUGCCAUUUAGAGUGGUAAAACCAACUUGCAUUCAGAUAAACAAACACCUAGGAGUGAAGAAUCUGGGUAGAUUUUUUCUUCCAUUAGCCCUCAUCUCUUGAGAAGCAGCCAGAGUACACAAUUAGGAAAUGGGGUUCAAUUUCACCUCCCACCAACAAGUCAAGAUCUUACAAACAUAAUAGCAGCACAAAUUAAUUAUCUGGGCAUUGAUGAAUGGAUCUGUGUUAUUUUAGAAACCCUGUCAUGGGAAGAGCUGAAAGGAAAAACAUAGUGAUCCCAGAAGGGCUGGGAGGAAAGAGGUGAGGAUCAGGUCAAGUUGAUAAUGGGGAUGUUAUUCCCUCCUUGAACUGACCUGGAAUCUAAUCCAAUUCAACAUACACCUUAGAAUCAAUGGGCAGAUGAUGAAGAGUUCCCUGCAGUUAUAAAGGAAAAGGUUGAGCAUAUUUUCCUGAUAGUGAAAUCAACUGUGGAAUAAGCUCCCAAGCUACAACAUUUGAAGCCGUUAGAGUUACACUGGGUGAAGGAAACGUAACUCUAGGUUGAGAAGCCUGGCACAGGGGUGUGCAUGGGGAUCCAUCUCUGGUCCUGCUGAAGGGAAUGAGUGAGGCUGCCACAGAAACAGGAUCAGGCCCUUGAUGGCACAGGUUGGUGUCUGUGGGCCACAGUCACUGAUUUCUCAUGACUUCACUAGAUCUGGAAAGUGAUCGGUCCCACUUGCAGUUUGGACCUUCAGUUUUGUAGUGACAAAUUCCGCUUGUUAGGUCUGUGCUUUCUUCCACCUCUGAAUUAUGAAAGGUGUUUAAAUUCCAUCUCUCUUAAUAUCAGAUACUGAAUGAAAAAACAAACCAUGUCCACAGAGCAGCACCCAUAAAUGGACUGCAGGGGUGAGGUUCAUGCAAAACAGAAUUAUGUCUCCUACAUUAAUUUU
rnacentral:lncRNA from 1 species